CUAUGUCGGCGACCGGCGCACGGGUGCGUAACGCGUAUGCAACCUACCCAUUACAGGGGGAUAACACUGAGAAAUCGGUACUAAUACCCCAUAACAUCCAGGGAGGCAUCUUCUUGGGUUGAAAACUCCGGUGGUAGUGGAUGGGCAUGCGUUGUAUUAGUUAGUUGGUGGGGUAACGGCUCACCAAGACAACGAUACAUAGGGGGACUGAGAGGUUAACCCCCCACAUUGGUACUGAGACACGGACCAAACUCCUACGGAAGGCAGCAG
rnacentral:rRNA from 1 species